UAGAGAAGACAAACCUGUGAAAAGAUCAUCUGAAGGAGGCUGCACAUGUAAAACUGACUGUUCUGGUGGAAGAUGUGGCUGUCGUAAAAUGUCGAGAACUUGUGGCAGUACUUGCAAAUGUAUUUCCAGUGGUUGUAAAAAUCGAGAUACAGACAACUCAAGUACAGUUGAACCUGCCGACUCUUCAUCUUUCAAAGUUCCAAAUGGAUGUGAGAUGGAUGAACUUCCCCACAAGAAGAAGAAAACCAGACUCUUUUUUUCCCGUAAUUAGACUUUGAUUGAUUGUUAUUUCAUUUCAUAUUCAUCCUAUCAUGUAGUUUUUCGUACUUUAUAAUGUAAAUAAUGUAAAUACAGGUGAUUUUAUUUUAAUUUAAUGAGUGAAUAUC